UNAAAUGAACGUUUAGAACGAACGAUUCAUUACAAAUUCUGUUUUUUACGGUUAUUUGGAUUUAUGUUUAAAGUAUUUAUGUAGAAUGAGCUUCACUCAAUUGUUGUAAUUCGUUUUACAAACAAUGCAACUAUGUGAGAUUGUAGAUUCUUUAUUUACUUGAUCCUGCUCCUAUGUAUUUUUCUUAAUAUUUCAAAUGUCUUUUGAAAUUGGCAAUCCAGUAUUUUCAGCUUAAUUUCUGUAACAUAAUAUCAAAAGAUUAUUAAUAUUUUAUAAUUAUGAUGAAAGUCUUUUAUUUCAAUUAGAAAUAUAAAUGAUCGGUAGUGCCUGGAUUUACAUGUUUUUUUUUUUUUUUUUUUUUUUUUUUUUGACAGUCCAAUUAUAGUUUCUAGAUAAGCUACAAGUUUUAAUUAUAGUAAAUUAGACUGUAAUAUAAAGUUUAUUUUUGUAUAUUUUACUUUUUUUUGACGUCUACUGCAUAUUUCUGUAUUUAGCGAUUUUUCGUACAAUUACUGCAGACCCUGGCAACUUAUUAUCAGCCCCUUGAGUACGUUUUUCAACUUAAUAAAAUAAUCAAAUAGUAUCGUGUGUGUGUUAGAUUCGAUUAGUCACUUCUCCAGUUGUUCACUUACCCAUUACACUUGACCUUAGACAACCAGGUUAAGUCCUGAUAACCUAGAUCAACUCUAUUAGUAAUUAGUAAUAAUGUAAUUAAUUAAUAUAUAAUAUUUACAUUUUGUAAUGUAUAAAAAUUAUUUUAUUUAACCUUUUUCUCCCUAUAAUACAUACUAUCUCCAACAUUAUUUCUGUUAAUGCAUAUUUACAGACUUAAAUAAAUUAAAUAUAAGUUUGCCGAUAUUGUUUUAUUCUAAAAUGUAAAGCAUAUUUCUGUAAUUUUGUUAGUUUUAAAUAUAUACAAAUUAUGUUUUUAAAUUGCACAAAUAAAUAGUAUAAACUCAAGUAAUUCAAAAUAUUGGCUCAAGAAGUUUUGUUUUAAUAAUUAUAAACUCUAUUGUAACAGAACAUUAUAGAAUAAAUUAUAUAAUUUUAAUAAAAUAAUACAAUAUUGCACUAUGCUUUUAAAGCGGAAGUUGUGCUGGGAAAGAGAGUUCUUCUUAUCAAUUAAUAAUGCAUAAAUAUAUUUAAAAACUGAUCAUUUGUGCCCGGAUUAAUCUUGUCUAAAAACCUUAGAGAUAUGCAUUUGUGAUGAUUUUUUGUAAAAAUAUACCCCUUAAAAAAAAAAACUUAUGCACAAAUAAAAAUUGAUUUUGAAGUAGAUACAAAAGAUUGAUUUGUAUUGAAUUUAUGCCUUUUCUCAAAGUGAAGAGCUUUACAUAAAUUCUUUUCAAUAGAACGGCGUAUAACAAAAUUGUAUUAAAAAAAAAUUCUGUAUUUUCAUUUUAUUUAUAUUAUGAUAAAACUAAUAUAAAUAUAACCAAAAUAUUAUAUAAUGUGCAUUCAAAAUCUAUUUGUAUGCAAUGAAAAAUCGUAAAAUAUGCAAAAUAAAACUUUAUAUUUCAGUUCUAUUGACUAUAAUUUAAACUUGUAGCUUAUCUUUUGUUGCUUUUUGGACUGUCAAAGAAAACAAAAACACAAAUGCAUAUCAUUCCAGGUUCUAAUGAUGAUAAAAAAAAGGUAAUAAAAAUAUAUUUAUUGCCAUAGUGGCCUUUUUCGGAUUUUGGUUUUCUAUAGGUGGCAAUAGUGGCAUAUUGCGUUCUUAUUGGUCGUGUGAUAUAAUCCCUUGGUUUCAAUUCGGCUUUUUUUCGGUAACUGUUGUUUCCAUUGUUGUAAUACGUCUGAUGCACACGAUCGGGUAUGUCAAUUUGUUCGUGUACUAUACGAACAAAUUGACAUACCCGAUUAGUGUUGGUUCAUUUACAUAAUUAUUUCUAGUUUUAGAAAUUGAUCACAUACUUUGUACCUAAUCGCCAACCGAACAAUUAUCACUGAAAUGUCUUCAAAGAGUACAGGCGGAUCGUCUUGUAACGACGAGUCACGUGUGUUAGUUGUACUUCCCGGACUUACAAAAAAUCAAAUCAAAUCAAAUCUUAGAAAAACAAGUGAGUACGCCAUUAUAAAUAACUAAUAAACGCUACCUAGGUAAAUAAUUAGCAAUAAGUGCAUUUAAUACAAAUUAAUAUUUACAAGAUAAAUAUAGAGACAGGGUAUCCCACGGCAAUAUGUACCCGUUGUAAUAUCUCCGGAGAUAAUAAACAUUAUAAAAGUCUGGUAUUUUUAUAUUUCUCACUGGGAUACAAAUAUUUGUAUUGCAAUUAAUUUCGUAAGUUAUGAAUAAAAAUUAAAAGAAAAAAAAAACAAUGUUUUAUUAUUAUUGGAUAAUUUGAACAUAGUAAUUUCAUAGAAUUUAUUCUUCUGAAAAUGUUGGAAAUUUGUUUUAAAUAAAUUCGUGAUAUAUUAUAAUUUUUUGAGUUCAGAGAAAAGAAAUGUACGAUAAGUCGAUAAAGCGUAAAUAAUAAUAGUAAUCAAUUGGAGAAUACGAUAACCGUCUGUUGUAUGAUUAUAGGUACGUUUUUUUUUUAACUUUAAAAAAUCAUAGAAAAUCACCAAUUUAACAAAAAUAAAAAGUUCAUUCAUCGAAAUUGUCAAAAAAAAUAUUAAUGUAAAAUGCCCUUCUCCAAAUUUUCAAAAAAAAUAAAAUGGAAAGUUAUUUUUUCUCAAGUGUUUUAUCAAAGAAAACAAAAUUAAAUGCAAUACAAAUAUUUGUAGUCUUUAUCCUUGUAAGUAAUAUAAAAAACAGAAUGUGAUUAUCUUUAUUAAAUCCGGAGAUUUCCAUCAAUGGGUAUUUCUUCACAGGAUAUCCUGUACUAUAUGCAAUAUAUUUAAUAGAUAAACAAUAAUUAAUAAUAUAUAAUAGACCUUGUUUUUCUAGACAUUAUGAUAUGCAUAACACUAAUAUCAGAUUUACCUUAUAAAAUUUGGGCUGGAAGAGUAAUGGAGAGUUAUAUUUAUGCAAUUUAAUACCCUUCCUUACUCCUCCAGUCUAAACUUUAAAGGGUAAAUCUGAUAUUAAUGUUGUGCAUAUCGAAAUGUCUAGGAAAAUUGUCCACUUAAAUAUGUGUUCGGAAAAAGGGGUUCUUAUUUGUAAAAUAAAAGUAUACGCUUAUUUAGGGUAUGUAGAAAAGGGGUAAAAAUUAGUUUUAAAUUAGAGCUAACCCGAUUUCAUAAUGAUAAAAACAAUAAAAAAAUAGAGGAUUGAAAAUUGUUAGUUCGUGAUGAAAAAAUCAUUCCGUAUAUUAGCUUUUAUAUUUUAUAAUGAACCGAUAUCCAUCACUUUUAUUUAUUUUCCAAUUAUAGUCAGGCAUUGAAUGUCAAAAAUACUAAAUAAUUAAUAUCAAGGGUCCACUCAUCAAUCUACUGCAGUCCCUGGCAGCUUAUUAUCAGCCCCUUGAGUACUUUUUUCAACUUAAUAAAAUAAUCAAAUAGUAUCGUGUGUGUGUUAGAUUCGACUAGUCACUUCUUCUCCAAUUAGUCACUUACCCAUUACACUUGACCUUAGACAACCAGGUUGGGUCCCGAUAACCUAGACCAACUCUAUUAGAAAUUAGUAAUAAUGCAAUUAAUUUUUAUAUAAUAUUUACAUUCUGUAUUAUGCAACACAUACUUUAUUUAACCUUUUUUUCUCUUUUCUCACUAUUAUUCAUACUAUGUCUAACAUUAUUUCUGUUUAUGGAUAUUUGCAGGCUUAAAUAAAUUGAAUCAAUUUUAGUAGCAAUAUUGCCGUGUUUGAUUGAACACCGAAAAACAUAAGUCUGCCAAUAUUGUGUUAUUCUAAAAUUUAGAAUACUUUAUAGAUAUAAAUAUGUAGUUUCAAAAUAUGCACAACUAACUUACAAAAUAUACGACACUUGCAGUAUUUGGGCGAGUUUAUUAUUUUAAUAGGGAUUGAAAUACAAUGCGAAAUUAAAUAUUUUUCUUUUGUGAUCUAUAACAAUGCUUUACUUGUUCAUAAUUUAAUUCGUAAAACUUUUUAGUGCAUUUUCCAUUAUUGUUAUUUGUCAUAUCCGUCCAGGCCCUACUGAUCUUUUUUAUUCAUAAUUAAAAUAGCAGACUUCCAUCAUAACUUUUAUAUAUUAAUAAUCUUUUGAUAUUAUGUUACAGAAAUUAAGCUGAAAAUACUGGAUUGCCAAUUUCAAAAGACAUUUGAAAUAUUAAGAAAAAUACAUAGGAGCAGGAUCAAGUAAAUAAAGAAUCUACAAUCUCACACAGUUGCAUUGUUUGUAAAACGAAUUACAACAAUUGAGUGAAGAUCAUUCUACAUAAAUAUUUCAAACACAAAUCCAAAUAACCGUAAAGAAACGGUAUUUUUAAUGAAUCUUCCUUUCUAAGCAUUCAUUUAAACCAACAUCUACUCAAGCCAUGUAGAUUAUCAGAGCACCAUAAAACCAGUAGCCAAUCAAUCGGCACUUAGAAAUAAUUAAUCCAAUGGAAGUCCUACGAAAUGUAAAUCGUUAAAAUGCACAAGUUGUAUAUAUGAAACUAAAUCCGAAGAAAAAUUUUUAUGUCACCUUACUGUUUGUAUUAAUUUAAUUGAUAGUAUUACUGACAAUCAUCCUAAUGAAUGCAAUAUAUGUUUAAAAAAAAUUUUAUAUAGAAGUUAAUUAAAGAAAUAAACGAGAUAUCAUAGGUUCAAGUCAAUCAUAGAAAUAUUGUUAAAAAUACACCUCCAAAUCAAACAAACCUAUUAACCACGCAAUCGGUGAAGAUUAAAAUCAUUUAGAAACAAAUUAGCAAAUACUAAGAAUACUGCACAAAAUUGAUUGAUAAAGUUGAAACGAGUAUAUUGCAAAACCUCUUGCAAAUCCGAAAGAGCACAAAUAAGACAUCAAAUCGGAGAAGAGCAGAAAAGAAUUCUUUAAAAUUGCCAGCUACUAAAUGCCAAUGGUGUGGUACGUUAUAUUCAAAACGUAAUUUGUUAGUCAUAUAAAUCCAAGGAUCUUCAAGUAAAGCCGUUUAAAUGUGCACAUUGUUCAAUGGAUUUCAAAUAUUUAUCCUCACAGAAAGAACAUAUUUUGGAAUGUCAUACUACAAAUGAAAAAUAAUGUUUAUACUCAAGAAUGUAAGAUAUUAAUAUUUUAAGUCUAUUUUAUAUAUAUUUUUUUUUUCUCUUAAGUUUUUUAGGUUAUCAAGUUCCGGUUUCUAAUUUUAUUUAAUAAAACUAAAAUAGUUACACAAUAAAUUAUUGGGGUCUGACCACACACGAUUUUCUAAUAUGCAUAUGUAUGUAAUUUGUAAUAUAACUUACAAAUAUUUAAAUUUCAUAGCACAAAGUGUCAAUUUAAACGUUUUUACUUGAGGAUGCUUGGAAUUAUAAGACUUAGCAAAUUACUUUUUGUAUUUAAUGUAUCACACUAUUGACAUUUAGUAGCUAGCAACUUUAAAGAGUUCUUUUGUCUUCUUCUUUAAUUUGGAUUGUGAGAUUUGAUUUGUUUUAUUUUAGCUCGUCCAGAUCUGCAAGAUACUUUGCAAUAUGCACAUUUCAAUUGUAUCAAUCUAAUUUGUGCAGUAUUCUUAGUAUUUGCGAGUUUGGUUCUAAAUGAAUUUAAUAUUCACCGAUUGCGUGGUAAAUUAGUAUGGUUAGGUGGUGUGUUUUUAAAAAUUUUUCUACAAUCGACUUGAACCUAUGAUAUCUCCUAUGUUUCUUUAAUUACCUUGUACAUAAAAAUUUUUUCAAACAAACAUUGCAUUUGUUAGGAUCAUUGUCAGUAAUAUUCUCAAUUAAACCAUUACAAACAGUAAGGUGAUAUAAAAAUAUUUCUUCGUACUUAGUUUCAUAUGUACAAUUUGUACAUUUUAACGAAUUAGAUUUUGUAGGACUUGCAUUUGAAUAAUUAUUUCUAGGUGCCGAUUGAAUGGCUACUGGUUUUAUGGGUCUCUUAUAAUCUACAUGACUUGAGUAGAUGUUGGUUUAAAUGAACGUUUAGAACGAACGAUUCAUUACAAAUUCUGUUUUUUACGGUUAUUUGGAUUUAUGUUUAAAGUAUUUAUGUAGAAUGAGCUUCACUCAAUUGUUGUAAUUCGUUUUACAAACAAUGCAACUAUGUGAGAUUGUAGAUUCUUUAUUUACUUGAUCCUGCUCCUAUGUAUUUUUCUUAAUAUUUCAAAUGUCUUUUGAAAUUGGCAAUCCAGUAUUUUCAGCUUAAUUUCUGUAACAUAAUAUCAAAAGAUUAUUAAUAUUUUAUAAUUAUGAUGAAAGUCUUUUAUUUCAAUUAGAAAUAUAAAUGAUCGGUAGUGCCUGGAUUUACAUGUUUUUUUUUUUUUUUUUUUUUUUUUUUUUUUGACAGUCCAAUUAUAGUUUCUANUUAUUUAACCUUUUUCUCCCUAUAAUACAUACUAUCUCCAACAUUAUUUCUGUUAAUGCAUAUUUACAGACUUAAAUAAAUUAAAUAUAAGUUUGCCGAUAUUGUUUUAUUCUAAAAUGUAAAGCAUAUUUCUGUAAUUUUGUUAGUUUUAAAUAUAUACAAAUUAUGUUUUUAAAUUGCACAAAUAAAUAGUAUAAACUCAAGUAAUUCAAAAUAUUGGCUCAAGAAGUUUUGUUUUAAUAAUUAUAAACUCUAUUGUAACAGAACAUUAUAGAAUAAAUUAUAUAAUUUUAAUAAAAUAAUACAAUAUUGCACUAUGCUUUUAAAGCGGAAGUUGUGCUGGGAAAGAGAGUUCUUCUUAUCAAUUAAUAAUGCAUAAAUAUAUUUAAAAACUGAUCAUUUGUGCCCGGAUUAAUCUUGUCUAAAAACCUUAGAGAUAUGCAUUUGUGAUGAUUUUUUGUAAAAAUAUACCCCUUAAAAAAAAAAACUUAUGCACAAAUAAUAAUUGAUUUUGAAGUAGAUACAAAAGAUUGAUUUGUAUUGAAUUUAUGCCUUUUCUCAAAGUGAAGAGCUUUACAUAAAUUCUUUUCAAUAGAACGGCGUAUAACAAAAUUGUAUUAAAAAAAAAUUCUGUAUUUUCAUUUUAUUUAUAUUAUGAUAAAACUAAUAUAAAUAUAACCAAAAUAUUAUAUAAUGUGCAUUCAAAAUCUAUUUGUAUGCAAUGAAAAAUCGUAAAAUAUGCAAAAUAAAACUUUAUAUUUCAGUUCUAUUGACUAUAAUUUAAACUUGUAGCUUAUCUUUUGUUGCUUUUUGGACUGUCAAAGAAAACAAAAACACAAAUGCAUAUCAUUCCAGGUUCUAAUGAUAAUAAAAAAAAAUCAGUAAUAUUACAUUUAUAAUGAAAUGUAAUAAAAAUAUAUUUAUUGUCAUAGUGGCCUUUUUCAGAUAUUAUGUUACAGAAAUGAAGCUGAAAAUAUUUGAGUGCUAAGUUGAAUAGACAUUUGUUAUAUCAGAAAAGAAACACAGGAACCAGUUCAUAUAAAAGAAUAAUUUACAGUGUUUGUGAAAAGCUAUUGAGAUAUCAUAGGUUCAAGUCAAUCAUAAAAACAUUGUUAAAAACACACCACCAAACCAAACUAAUUUACCACGCAAUCAUUGAAGAUUAAAAUCACAUAGAACCAAACUUGCAAAUACUAAGAAUACUGCACAAAUUAGAUUGAUAUAAUUGAAAUGUGCAUAUUGCAAAACCCCUUGCAAGUCCGAAUGAGCUCAUAAAAAAACCCAUCAAAUCUCAUCAUCCAAAUCAAAGAAGAGCAGAAAAUAAUUCUUUGAAAUCGCCAGCUGCUUAUAGUCAAUGGUGUGAUACAAUAAUUACAAAACUUAAUUUGCCACGUCAUAUUAAAUCUGAGCAUUCUCAAGUCAAACCGUAUAAAUAAACACUUGUUCAAUGGAUUUCAAAUAUUUAUCCUCACAGAAAGAACAUAUUUUGGAAUGUCAUACUACAGAUGAAAAAUAAUGUUUAUACUCAAGAUUGUAAAAUAUUAAUAUUUUAAGUCAUUUUUAUCCUUUUUUUUUUUUAAAAAAAUGAUUUAGGUUAUGUUCCAUUUUUUAAUUAUAAUUAUUAAUACUAAAAUACUUAUACAAUAAAUUAUUGAUGGUCUGACUAUACACGAUUUUGUCGCAUCAUUUCAUCAACUGAAAAAUUGAUUAAAUGGAGCAUGUUUAUUUAUGCAUCUCUCAAUCGUGGGUUCGACAUUUUCUAGUGUUUCUAUUCUGAAAACUUUAGCCCUUAUGAGCUCACAUUUGUAUCUACAUAACAUAAUGUUAAGAUGACUCACAAAUGACUGUUGCAUUAGUAAUUUACAUUGUUCGAAUAUGUGUAUAAAUUAUGUAUUGUAUUUAUACAUUUAUAUAAUAAUUAAAAAAUUACUUACUAUUUGUAUUGGUAAUUUUUAAUUAGAAUAAAACUUUUUAUUAUUUAUUAAGUGCAUAACCUGUUUACUUUAAUUGUUGACAGUUUUUAUAUGUAGAUGUCGAAGGAUAUUGAAUAAUUUUGACGAUUACAUAAAGUAUUAAUACCAUUGUUAGUGUAACAAUAGCGUAACAAUAUUUAACUCAAUUUGAUUUUACCUUUUUUAGAUUUAUAUAUAAUUCUAUUUUUCUGUUUAAUUAUUAGGGAAUUUUUCUUUUAUUCUUAUUAUAUAAAAUGAACAAAAAAUUGAAAUUAAGUAUUCACUGUAAAUAACCACACAC